GGUUCACAGGCCGCGCGGCUGGUUUGGGGGGCUGUUCUACCGCCGGUAGUCGCCGGAAGGCUGGUUCUCGCAUAGGUUGCCCGUGCCAUUCUAAUCCAAUUUCUGCCUUUCAGCGCCCGGCAGUCUUAGCGCCCUCAUUCUUCUCGCUUUUCUGUAUUUGGCUUGCCUAAGGGAACGCGAAACCCUAGUCCCUGUCCGGUGUACCCAUCUCCGUCCACUCUCCGGCACCAGAAAAUCAAGAUAGACGGGGGGAUGAGGGGUGGUUUGAGAUAAAAAUGUGCCUACAGGCAACAGUGUAGGCAAUCUUGAGCCCCCCUGAAAGAGGAGAGUGAAGGCUUCUUUGUGGUCUGCGACAGCAGCUCUGAAAACUUAAAACGUCUGCAGUAGCUCCUUGGGCCGGUGGAAACUAAAGGUACGAAUGGAGUCGCUGGGGAAUCGCGGACAACUGUAAACAGCUGAAGGACAUUUGCAAGACAAAAGCCUAAUGUGAUGAGCACCUGGGUGGCUCAGUUGGUUAAGCAGCUGCCUUCAGCUCAGACAUGAUUCCAGAGUCCUGGGACUGAGUCCCGCACUGGGCUCCCUGAUCAGUGCGGAGCCUACUUCUUCCUCUCCCUCUGUCUGCUGCUCCUUCUACUUGUGUGCUCUCUCUCACUCUCUCCGUCAAAUAAAUAAAUAAAACCUUUAAAAAAAA